rnacentral:rRNA from 1 species
GAAGACAAGCCCGCGGCUGAUUAGCUAGUUGGUGAGGUAAUGGCUCACCAAGGCGACGAUCAGUAGCCGGCCUGAGAGGGUGAACGGCCACACUGGGACUGAGACACGGCCCAGACUCCUACGGGAGGCAGCAGUGGGGAAUAUUGCGCAAUGGGGGAAACCCUGACGCAGCAACGCCGCAUGAAUGAAGAAGGCCUUCGGGUUGUAAAGUUCUGUCAAUUGGGAAGAAACCUCUGAGGUCAAUAGCCUUAGAGAUGACGGUACCUAAGAAGGAAGCUCCGGCUAACUACGUGCCAGCAGCCGCGGUAAUACGUAGGGAGCAAGCGUUAUCCGGAAUUACUGGGCGUAAAGGGCGUGUAGGCGGCUACUUAAGCCAGAUGUUAAAUGUUACAGCUCAACUGUAAACCUGCAUCUGGAACUGGGUAGCUAGAGGACGAGAGAGGAAAGUGGAAUUCCUAGUGUAGCGGUGGAAUGCGUAGAUAUUAGGAGGAACACCAGUGGCGAAGGCGGCUUUCUGGCUCGUACCUGACGCUGAGGCGCGAAAGCGUGGUGAGCAAACAGGAUUAGAUACCCUGGUAGUCCACGCCGUAAACGAUGAGUACUAGGUGUAGGAGGGAACAACCUUCUGUGCCGCAGCUAACGCAAUAAGUACUCCGCCUGGGGAGUACGCUCGCAAGAGUGAAACUCAAGGAAUUGACGGGGCCCGCACAAGCGGUGGAGCAUGUGGUUUAAUUCGACGCAACGCGAGACCUUACCAAAUCUUGACAUCGAUAGAUCUGCUGGAAGCAGCGAGUGCCCUUCGGGAC